rnacentral:rRNA from 1 species
GACGAACGCUGGCGGCGUGCCUAAUACAUGCAAGUAGAACGCACAGUUUAUACCGCAGCUUGCUACACCAUAGACUGUGAGUUGCGAACGGGUGAGUAACGCGUAGGUAACCUGCCUGGUAGCGGGGGAUAACUAUUGGAAACGAUAGCUAAUACCGCAUAAUAUUAAUUAUUGCAUGAUAAUUAAUUGAAAGGUGCAAUUGCACCACUACCAGAUGGACCUGCGUUGUAUUAGCUAGUAGGUGAGGUAACGGCUCACCUAGGCGACGAUACAUAGCCGACCUGAGAGGGUGAUCGGCCACACUGGGACUGAGACACGGCCCAGACUCCUACGGGAGGCAGCAGUAGGGAAUCGUCGGCAAGGGACGAAAGUCUGACCGAGCAACGCCGCGGGAGUGAAGAAGGUUGUCGGAUCGUAAAGCUCUGUUGUAAGAGAAGAACGGGUGUGAGAGUGGAAAGUUCACACUGUGACGGUAUCUUACCAGAAAGGGACGGCUAACUACGUG